GCGAAUACCGGAGAAUGUUAUCACGGGAGACACACGGCGGGUGCUAACGUCCGUCGUGAAGAGGGAAACAACCCAGACCGCCAGCUAAGGUCCCAAAGUCAUGGUUAAGUGGGAAACGAUGUGGGAAGGCCCAGACAGCCAGGAUGUUGGCUUAGAAGCAGCCAUCAUUUAAAGAAAGCGUAAUAGCUCACUGGUCGAGUCGGCCUGCGCGGAAGAUGUAACGGGGCUAAACCAUGCACCGAAGCUGCGGCAGCGAACGUAUCACCCAAGACAACUUUGCGGAGUUGACGAUUGACGGAGCGAAGCGACGUCAAAGCGUUCAUUAAAGUCGAGUUGGCUUAGGGAUACGUUCGUUGGGUAGGGGAGCGUUCUGUAAGCCUGUGAAGGUAUGCUGUGAGGCAUGCUGGAGGUAUCAGAAGUGCGAAUGCUGACAUAAGUAACGAUAAAGCGGGUGAAAAGCCCGCUCGCCGGAAGACCAAGGGUUCCUGUCCAACGUUAAUCGGGGCAGGGUGAGUCGACCCCUAAGGCGAGGCCGAAAGGCGUAGUCGAUGGGAAACGGGUUAAUAUUCCCGUACUUGGUGUUACUGCGAAGGGGGGACGGAGAAGGCUAUGUUGGCCGGGCGACGGUU
rnacentral:rRNA from 2 species